rnacentral:rRNA from 1 species
UACGAAGGGGGCUAGCGUUGCUCGGAAUGACUGGGCGUAAAGGGCGCGUAGGCGGUUUGUACAGUCAGGUGUGAAAUUCCCGGGCUCAACCUGGGGGGCUGCACUUGAUACGUAGGAACUUGAGUGGGGAAGAGGGUCGUGGAAUUCCAGGUGUAGCGGUGAAAUGCGUAGAUAUCUGGAGGAACACCGGUGGCGAAGGCGGCGUUUCUGGACCUGUUACCGACACUGAGGAACGAAAGCCAGGGGAGCAAACGGG